rnacentral:rRNA from 1 species
GAUGAACGCUGGCGGCGUGCCUAAUACAUGCAAGUCGAGCGAAUGGAUUAAGAGCUUGCUCUUAUGAAGUUAGCGGCGGACGGGUGAGUAACACGUGGGUAACCUGCCCAUAAGACUAGGAUAACUCCGGGAAACCGGGGCUAAUACCGGAUAACAUUUUGAACCGCAUGGUUCGAAAUUGAAAGGCGGCUUCGGCUGUCACUUAUGGAUGGACCCGCGUCGCAUUAGCUAGUUGGUGAGGUAACGGCUCACCAAGGCAACGAUGCGUAGCCGACCUGAGAGGGUGAUCGGCCACACUGGGACAGAGACACGGCCCAGACUCCUACGGGAGGCAGCAGUAGGGAAUCUUCCGCAAUGGACGAAAGUCUGACGGAGCAACGCCGCGUGAGUGAUGAAGGCUUUCGGGUCGUAAAACUCUGUUGUUAGGGAAGAACAAGUGCUAGUUGAAUAAGCUGGCACCUUGACGGUACCUAACCAGAAAGCCACAGCUAACUACGUGCCAGCAGCCGCCGUAA